ensembl:lncRNA
CGGGCGCUGUCAUAGCAGCCUCUGUAGCUGCGAGCCAGCCACGCUGCCAGGAGGAGCUGGGUCGGGGUGUUCAGACCUCCUCAGCAUCCCCCCCACCUCACACACACACCGAUCUCCACCUCAGGGAAGGGAGUGGUGGCUUGGGCUCCUCCUUGGAGCAGGGGAGGGCGCUAAUUGGAUUGGAACGCUCCAGAAACACAUCAGCUGCCCCUCCCUGGGGGAAAGGGGUUGAUGGGGGGAGGCUGCAGACAGUCUUUGUGAUGGGUCUCAGCUUCCCCUCCCCGCAGCCUCCCCCGACCUGGUCCUCACCAGCCUCUGCCCACCCAGCGCCAUCCUAGGGCACAAUGGCAAGCUCGCUGUGGCGUGGAGGAGGCGGACAUCCAUCAGAUAAUCACCACAGUGAAAUCCAGCCAUGAUAAGGAGGGGAUUGCAACAACUUCCAAAGGGGACAAGGAACCCUCGUGUUGGAGCAGGUUGGAAACCCCCGGGCUGGGCUGUCGAGGCAGUGUGUCAUUCUCCUGUGCAGAGAGGAGUCAUGAGGCCUGAGGUCAGGUUCCAGCCCCUCUCCGGGCUGGCUGGAUGAUCUUGGGGGCUGCCCCGUGUGACUUGGAGAGCUUUGGUUUCCUCAUCCGGGAACAGAGAACGUGAAAAUUAUUUGGCAGGAUUGUCAAGAAGAUUAAAUGAGAUCGUGAAAGGGCUUUCCAACUGUGAAGUGUCGCUCAAAUUUAACAAAAAAAAAUGGAGCAGCAGGCUAUUCAGCAGUGGGGAGGGCCUGGCCUGUGGGCCGGAUGGACAGCCAAGUCAGGAUGAGCUGGAGAGCAGGUUGGCCUGGUCAGAACCGGGAGGAGACUGGAGAGGCGGCUCAGCAUGCCCUGGAAGAAGGCUAGCCUGUGGGAUGCUGUUUCAGAAAAGACCUACUGUGUUACUUUCCAAGCUGUGUUGGAAGGCUGAGCUUCUUUUGAAUGCUGUCACAGGCCUCGAGGUGACCCAAUAUAUCUGGGUUACAUUUGCAAAAUUUCUGAUACAUUGUAGGGGCUCCCAGUUAUUCUGGAAGACACACACGAGGGCUGGGUAUCUUCAAAGAGCAGGCAGAAUGCAUCCUGAGCCACCAGGCCACUGAGGAGGUUCAAGGAGUGCUAUGCCCCAACCCUCCCUCUCUCUAGAGCUGCACUGUCCAAUAUGGUGGCCACUAGCCACAUAUUUACAUUUAAAUUAAAUUAAAAUUAAAAUUCUUUUUUUCCUUCCUAAAGCCCCAGUGCAUGGUUGUAUAUCCCAGUUGUAAGUGGUUCUGGUUCUUCUAUGUGAGCCACCGCCACAGCAUGGCAGCUGACAGAUGGGCCACGGAAGUGCCUGGUGGAUUUUUACAUAUGUAUGUACCUGUGUGACCUCCACCCAGAUCAGGAUACAGAACAUUUCCAGCGCCCUGGAAGGUUCCUCCUCUCUCCCUCCUGUUCAAUUCUCCUCCCCAGACGUAAUUGCUGUUCUGAUUUCUACCACUGUCAAUUAGCUUUGCCUGCUCUCGAACUUCAUAUAAAGAGGAUUGUAGCUU